GUGUUUGUGACAUCAGGACACAUUCUGGAAGUCUGGGUAUCAUCUUUUUUCCCCCAGCUAUGAGUAGGGAUAGCAGAACCACGAGGGAUAAGGGGUACUUUCCUCCUGGAAGGAUGAAGAUGUCUGCACACCAUCCUGUGUUGUGUAACUGGACCUGUUUCUAUAUCACACAAGUAACUGGCCCAGAGAUCCUCUGUCAGUUCCCAAAGACUACCCCUUGCAAAGGAAGCCAGAAACCCAAAGCCAGUGUUCUUGCUCCCAACUUCAAGGCUUUUCAAGUGCUCAUCUUCCAGAGAGGGAAUGUCUCAUAGUGAUGAGAGGGAUUUCUGUGCUUCCUGAUGCUUUUCCUGGUAUGUGAUUGCUCCCUUCCAAUCCACCUGUCUGCCCUUCUCUGCUGUCCCUGAGGCAUAUAUCCACCUCAGGCCCUUUGCACUUACUGAAUGGGAUGUUCUUCCCUCAGAUAACCCCAAGACUGGCUAUGUCCCUUCAUUUCUGACUCUACUCAAAUGCUGCGCUCCACAGAAGUGGCCUGCCCUCCAAGAGACCCUCACUUUGUUUUAGUUGUGCCUAUUAAUUGCUGCCUAUGCCUGAAGUGUUGCUGUGGACCAAGUCUGCUUUCGGCUUCCCUUUGAUAAUUUCACCUCUGCAGCAGAGACGCUUAGAUGUUGUGUUGACUGCUGUUUGUCGCACACCUAGAACAGCUGCCCAUGCCAUAGAGAUUCAUUCAGUACUGUCGGGGUGAAGGAAUGAAUGGGUAGAAAGAAGUCCAAGAGAGACUUGUGUGAAGGCCAUUGUCACUGUUGCUGUGAAAGUCCUCUGUUCUCCUCCCUGGGGAAUGACAGAAAAGCAGAGCUGACUGGGCUCCAACCCCGGUGAGGAAGCAGAGACUCACCUCUGACUGGGGAGGCUGCCUGGGACCAAUGGGCAUUUUACCCCCUCACCUCUGAUUAUUGAGCUGGGACCUUAAUUUACUGGGUCCAUCCCUGAGUUAGUUUCUCAAGCCUUCCUUGUGACAUAAAAUAUAUUUUCCAAACCAGCAAGCCCUAGGAACCAGGUGGGCCUUGAGUUUGGAUGUGGACAUGCUGGGGAGUCUCUGAAGGUUCGGAACGUGAUGCUCAGAUCCAAAAUUAGCGUGUUUGUGCUGUACUUUCUGUUCCUUUUCCUUUCCUUUCUUUGAAAGAAGCCUGGAGCUCAGGCUAGACCGGCUGCCCAGCACAGAGAUGACAACACACGCCACCAGGUUCUGCUUUGUUUCCACGUAGGAAUCUGGCCCAGACCCACACGCUAGGGUAGUCAGCACUUAACCAACUGAGCUGUCUCUCCAGCUCCAAGGUUUCCUAGGACACACUUCCCCGUGGUGGAAGCCCUCAUGUGAGGCUGGCGAAUCUGCUCAUCAUGCAACUGGGCGAGCAGCAGCACCCAAGGCUUCGUGGACAACACAGAGAUGCUUUAGGACUGAGGCUAGUAUCCUGGACAUACUGGGAGGGAUUCUGCCAGAAUGGAUUCCAGUACAGGAAGAACGCUUGCUGUUUCUCCAGGAAGUUCCUGCUCCACCACAGAAAAGAGAAACAAAUGGCUUCCAAUUCAGUUAAAUUGGAGGCAGCUUUCACCCUCCUGUUUCAGGAAGGUCUGUGUUGUCUGGGCCCUGUGGCCAUGGAAUGUCAACAGCCUCACCUUACCAGCAGGACACUGGGGGACUGUAAAGAGCUCACUGUGAUCAAAUUCUUCUGUCCCAGGUUUAUCUAAUUAAGUAGAUUCUUUUCAUUUUAACCAGAGCUACAUCAAACUGUAGGUGUCCCGUGUGUAGAUCAACCUGUGAGAAGAUCAGUUCCAGGAUAAGGAAUGGGUGCUCGAAUUGCCCUGAUGAACAAGGUUCCCAUUACAGUGGCACACAGAGGCAAAUCCUGCUAAUCCCAGCUCUGACUGUUUCCUCGGGAUUUGAAUAGUGGCCUGGAAUAUGCUCUUCUGCAUGCAGUUUCUGCACACCGAAGACACAGAGCAGCCAGGAGGCAGCUCUGUUCUCUGAAAAAUAUCCAUUCAGUUUUACAUUGUUGAGUAGCCACAUGCUAGAUACCAGGUAUCAACUCAGCCUCAGGCUGGCCAGAAAGAGAUGUAUGGACAGACAGUGGGACCGGUCCAAGAGAGGAAUGCUCCAGUCUGUUGGGUACCAACAUGUAUAACUCUCGUCCAAGUGUCUUCCUACUGAACCCUGGUGGCAAGGUCAUAUGCAACUGAACAUUAAGCAGUCUCUGUUCAGAUUCUAGAGCCCACUCUCUUCCUGGCUCUACUGAUGCUUGUGAUGUUUGUGAUGCAGGAUGUGUGACCACCAUGCUGACAGCUAGACCAUGACAUGUUCUGAGGAGAUGAGCAGAUGUCUAUUCAUCUCAGAUCACUACCAGUAAACCAAAGAAAUGACUCCACCCAAGACUAGCCAGUCUCAGUUUAAGUCCAAAGGCAUCAGACUCAGGAAGCCAAUGCUACAGCCCUCAGCCAGAGUCCAGGAGGCUGGGAAGCCAGGAAGUCACUGGAAUACAUUCUCCAGAGGAAGGUCAGAGAUCCUGGACCUCAUGGCCAAUGACAGAAGAAUGUGCCUAUUCCAACACAGAACAGAAGUGCUACUCUCCCCUUCUCCUUUCCUUCUGAUCCUCCAUUAAAUAGACAACAGAUUCCACCCUACCCCCAAGCCUACCCCCUCCCUCUAGGUUUCUCUGGAGAUACCUUCCAGACACACCCAGAAGUAUUUCUCAGUAUCCUGCAUUGAGGAAUGGACAACAUGCUGUGAUAUUUUAAGAUAUAUAUGGAAAUGUAGAGACCAGAAGCCAAAAAUAUGCCUGAAAGGCAUGAAGCAGGGAGAUGACCUCUCCUGAUUUUAAAACUUACUACAAACUCUAGCAGUCAGCCUGAGAUCAUUAAAAUAACCAAAUUCACUAGGAACCAAAGAAGAACAUGGUGGGUCCACAGGGGAGGGAGUAGUGGUAUUACUAUUUAAAGCACACAGUGGCUCAGUUUCACAGCACAGUAGAAGGCUUCUAAUGAUGGAUAAAGGUGAUGGCUGCACAAUGAUGUGCAAGUACUUAAUGUUACUGAGCUUUUUUAUCUAAAAGUGACAACCCAUAGAAAAUGGAAAACUACUAUAGUUGGGACUGUGGAGAUGUCAGCAUGAGGCAGAGAUACAGAUCUAUGGGACAAAAUUGAAAGUCUAUUUGUGGACUCUUACAUUGGUAAUCAGAUUUACCUUUGAAGAAAGAAUUGUCUUUUCAGCACAGGACAACUGGAAAUCC